UACGUAGGGUGCAAGCGUUGUCCGGAAUUAUUGGGCGUAAAGAGCUCAUAGGCGGUUUGUCGCGUCUGCUGUGAAACCCGAGGCUCAACCUCGGGCCUGCAGUGGGUACGGGCAGACUAGAGUGCGGUAGGGGAGAUUGGAAUUCUCGGUGUAGCGGUGAAAUGCGUAGAUAUCGAGAGGAACACCUGCGGCGAAGGCGGGUUGCUGGGCUGAUGACUGACGCUGAGGCGCGAAAGCCAGGGGAGCGAACGGG
rnacentral:rRNA from 1 species